rnacentral:rRNA from 1 species
UGCCUAAUACAUGCAAGUAGAACGCUGAAGAGAGGAGCUUGCUCUUCUUGGAUGAGUUGCGAACGGGUGAGUAACGCGUAGGUAACCUGCCUGGUAGCGGGGGAUAACUAUUGGAAACGAUAGCUAAUACCGCAUAAAAUUGAUUAUCGCAUGAUAAUCAAUUGAAAGGUGCAAAUGCAUCACUACCAGAUGGACCUGCGUUGUAUUAGCUAGUUGGUGGGGUAACGGCUCACCAAGGCGACGAUACAUAGCCGACCUGAGAGGGUGAUCGGCCACACUGGGACUGAGACACGGCCCAGACUCCUACGGGAGGCAGCAGUAGGGAAUCUUCGGCAAUGGACGGAAGUCUGACCGAGCAACGCCGCGUGAGUGAAGAAGGUUUUCGGAUCGUAAAGCUCUGUUGUAAGAGAAGAACGAGUGUGAGAGUGGAAAGUUCACACUGUGACGGUAUCUUACCAGAAAGGGACGGCUAACUACGUGCCAGCAGCCGCGGUAAUACGUAGGUCCCGAGCGUUGUCCGGAUUUAUUGGGCGUAAAGCGAGCGCAGGCGGUUAGAUAAGUCUGAAGUUAAAGGCUGUGGCUUAACCAUAGUACGCUUUGGAAACUGUUUAACUUGAGUGCAAGAGGGGAGAGUGGAAUUCCAUGUGUAGCGGUGAAAUGCGUAGAUAUAUGGAGGAACACCGGUGGCGAAAGCGGCUCUCUGGCUUGUAACUGACGCUGAGGCUCGAAAGCGUGGGGAGCAAACAGGAUUAGAUACCC